rnacentral:rRNA from 1 species
GGGGGAUCUUGGACAAUGGGGGAAACCCUGAUCCAGCGAUGCCGCGUGUGUGAAGAAGGCCUUCGGGUUGUAAAGCACUUUAGAUGUGGAGGAAGAAUAGGGGGUUAAGAGCUAUCUAUUUUGACGGUACACAAAGAAUAAGCACCGGCUAACUCUGUGCCAGCAGCCGCGGUAAUACAGAGGGUGCGAGCGUUAAUCGGAAUUACUGGGCGUAAAGGGCGCGUAGGCGGUUGAUUAAGCUGUGUGUGAA